rnacentral:lncRNA from 1 species
UGGAUUAUAAAGUAGCGUAUAUAAUGCAUAUAGGUUUCAGAAUCAGAGACAUCAAGCUUUAAAUCGUGGCCUUCUACAGAGACUCCUGAACCUCAGUUUCUUCAUCUGUAUAAUUGGAAUGCUAGUGCCUGCCUUGAAGGGUUGCUGUGAGAUUUACACGAGAGGAUGUACAGAGAAACAACCAGAAGAGAGAUGGAGAGAACUCUCCUUGGAUC